GCCGAAGUGGCGGAAUGGCAGACGCAGCAGACUCAAAAUCUGCCGUGAGCAAUCACGUACGGGUUCAAGUCCCGUCUUCGGCA
rnacentral:tRNA from 1 species